UACGUAGGGUGCAAGCGUUAAUCGGAAUUACUGGGCGUAAAGCGUGCGCAGGCGGUGAUGUAAGACAGAUGUGAAAUCCCCGGGCUUAACCUGGGAACUGCGUUUGAAACUACAAGGCUAGAGUGUGGCAGAGGGGGGUGGAAUUCCACGUGUAGCAGUGAAAUGCGUAGAGAUGUGGAGGAACACCGAUGGCGAAGGCAGCCCCCUGGGUUAACACUGACGCUCAGGCACGAAAGCGUGGGGAGCAAACAGG
rnacentral:rRNA from 1 species